CUGCUGGAAUACUAAACAAUUAUUAUGGCUUUUCUUGGACAACUACGAUCGUAGGAUUCUUAAUGGCUGGACAGUUUUUGGUCACUUCUAUUUUCUACAAAUUUAACAGGGACAGGAAGCACGACAAAAGG